ACGAACGCUGGCGGCGUGCUUAACACAUGCAAGUCGAACGGGAUUUAGUAAACGGAAGCCUCGGUGGAAGAUUACUAAUGAGAGUGGCGAACGGGUGAGUAACGCGUGAGCAACCUGCCUAUGACAGUGGGAUAGCCUCGGGAAACCGGGAUUAAUACCGCAUAAAAUCGUAGAAACACAUGUUUCAACGGUCAAAGAUUUAUCCGUCAUAGAUGGGCUCGCGUCUGAUUAGCUAGUUGGUGAGAUAACAGCCCACCAAGGCGACGAUCAGUAGCCGGUCUGAGAGGAUGAACGGCCACAUUGGAACUGAGACACGGUCCAAACUCCUACGGGAAGCAGCAGUGGGGAAUAUUGCACAAUGGGGGAAACCCUGAUGCAGCGACGCCGCGUGAACGAAGAAGGUAUUCGUAUCGUAAAGUUCUGUCCUAUGGGAAGAUAAUGACAGUACCAUAGAAGAAAGCUCCGGCUAAAUACGUG
rnacentral:rRNA from 1 species